rnacentral:tRNA from 1 species
UGUUCUGUGGCUUAGAUGGUUAAAGCGCUGGUUUUACAAAUACGGAGUCGUGGGUUCGAAUCCCACUAAAACAC